UACGAAGGGGGCUAGCGUUGCUCGGAAUUACUGGGCGUAAAGGGCGCGUAGGCGGAUAGUUUAGUCAGAGGUGAAAGCCCAGGGCUCAACCUUGGAAUUGCCUUUGAUACUGGCUAUCUUGAGUUCGGGAGAGGUGAGUGGAAUGCCGAGUGUAGAGGUGAAAUUCGUAGAUAUCGGGAGGAACACCUGUGGCGAAAGCGGCUCACUGGACCGCAACUGACGCUGAGGCGCGAAAGCUAGGGGAGCAAACAGG
rnacentral:rRNA from 1 species